GGGCCCAUAGCUCAGCGGUAGAGCGGCCGGCUCAUAACCGGUUGGUCCUUGGUUCGAAUCCGAGUGGGCCCACCA
rnacentral:tRNA from 2 species